GACGAACGCUGGCGGCGUGCCUAAUACAUGCAAGUAGAACGCUGAAGGAGGAGCUUGCUUCUCCGGAUGAGUUGCGAGCGGGUGAGUAACGCGUAGGUAACCUGCCUGGUAGCGGGGGAUAACUAUUGGAAACGAUAGCUAAUACCGCAUAAGAGUAGAUGUCGCAUGACAUUUGCUUAAAAGGUGCAACUGCACCACUACCAGAUGGACCUGCGUUGUAUUAGCUAGUUGGUGAGGUAACGGCUCACCAAGGCAACGAUACAUAGCCGACCUGAGAGGGUGAUCGGCCACACUGGGACUGAGACACGGCCCAGACUCCUACGGGAGGCAGCAGUAGGGAAUCUUCGGCAAUGGACGGAAGUCUGACCGAGCAACGCCGCGUGAGUGAAGAAGGUUUUCGGAUCGUAAAGCUCUGUUGUAAGAGAAGAACGAGUGUGAGAGUGGAAAGUUCACACUGUGACGGUAUCUUACCAGAAAGGGACGGCUAACUACGUG
rnacentral:rRNA from 1 species